UGGGGAAUAUUGCACAAUGGGCGAAAGCCUGAUGCAGCAACGCCGCGUGAGUGAUGAAGGUCUUCGGAUUGUAAAGCUCUGUCUUUUGGGACGAUAAUGACGGUACCAAAGGAGGAAGCCACGGCUAACUACGUGCCAGCAGCCGCGGUAAUACGUAGGUGGCGAGCGUUGUCCGGAUUUACUGGGCGUAAAGGGUGCGUAGGCGGAUGUUUAAGUGAGAUGUGAAAUACCCGGGCUUAACUUGGGUGCUGCAUUUCAAACUGGAUAUCUAGAGUGCAGGAGAGGAGAGUGGAAUU
rnacentral:rRNA from 1 species